rnacentral:rRNA from 1 species
GACAGAGGUGCCGAGCGUUAGGCGGAAUCACUGGGCUUAAAGCGUGUGUAGGCGGACGCCUAAGUACCUUGUGAAAUCCCCCCGGCUCAACCGGGGAACGGCUGGGUAUACUGGGCGUCUUGAGAGACUCAGGGGCGAGCGGAACAGGCGGUGGAGCGGUGAAAUGCGUAGAUAUCGCCUGGAACGCCGACGGUGAAAACAGCUCGCUGGGGGUCUUCUGACGCUGAGACACGAAAGCCAGGGGAGCGAACGGG